GCCUGGAUAGCUCAGUUGGUUGAAGCAUGGUACUGAGAAUGCCACGGUUGAAAGUUCAAUCCCUGUAUGAGACA